rnacentral:lncRNA from 1 species
UCUGCGGUCUGCCCGUCUCCUCUUCUUCUCUAACUCAAUUCCAAUUUCCAAAUCUGUUUCUUCGCCAUAGAACCUCAACCUUUUCUCCAGCUGAAAUUCCUUCAAUCUUACAACUCUACUUCAUAAAUCCACUCAGAUUUACACAAAUUCCAACUAAAACAUCAUCAAACCAGUCAAAUAACAAGUCAAAUCUGAAAUAACAAGUCAAAUCUGAAAUCUCCACCAUUACUCUUGAAAAAACCACUAAUAGAAUCAAAAUGAAAAGCU